GACGAACGCUGGCGGCGUGCUUAACACAUGCAAGUCGAACGGAAAGGCCCUGCUUUUGUGGGGUGCUCGAGUGGCGAACGGGUGAGUAACACGUGAGUAACCUGCCCUUGACUUUGGGAUAACUUCAGGAAACUGGGGCUAAUACCGGAUAGGAGCUCCUGCUGCAUGGUGGGGGUUGGAAAGUUUCGGCGGUUGGGGAUGGACUCGCGGCUUAUCAGCUUGUUGGUGGGGUAGUGGCUUACCAAGGCUUUGACGGGUAGCCGGCCUGAGAGGGUGACCGGCCACAUUGGGACUGAGAUACGGCCCAGACUCCUACGGGAGGCAGCAGUGGGGAAUAUUGCACAAUGGGCGGAAGCCUGAUGCAGCAACGCCGCGUGCGGGAUGACGGCCUUCGGGUUGUAAACCUCUUUCGCCUGUGACGAAGAGUGAGUGACGGUAAUGGGUAAAGAAGCACCGGCUAACUACGUG
rnacentral:rRNA from 1 species